GGAGGUCGCUAAUCCGGAUACUCCGGAGGUCGUGGCCUCCGCUCCGGAGACCACGACCUCGGUAGCCGGGUUAGCCGCCGGGC
rnacentral:pre_miRNA from 1 species